rnacentral:lncRNA from 10 species
ACAUGUCCUUAACCUUGGCACAACAAAUCUCUAAAUCGAUUGAGACCUGUCUCAGAUACUUCUUGGUUUACAAGAUGGAGGCUGAAAUUAAAGAGAAAGAUCCUCACUCAACUCACAGAGGAGCAGAAUGGGAAGAGGACUUAGUGAGAAUUCCCUGAACACAGGAGAAAACCGAAGCCCAGAGAGUGGAUGGCCAAGUCCAAGGUCACACAGCCAAGUGCAUCCGAGCAGCGCAGGAUCCAGGUUUCCUGCCCCAGUGCUCUUUCUGCAGCCCAUGCCACCUGUUUUCAUGCUAUCUCAGUUCACCUUCCAGCUACACACCUGCAAUCAGAAACAGAAAGUCUGAGAGUGUGUGUGGAGCCAAAGAGGGGACAGCAGUGGUGAGGCCAGUUUCAUGUCUUGUGAUUUAUUUUCUCCCUUUCUUUUUGGACUUUAAUCUUAAGUGGACAGCAAUUUGGAACAGUGUCAGCACCUUGUUGGAUUGUGCUGUUUGGGAGAGGUGACACAGAGUAUUUUAAAAGAGCAGGUUAAGAACUUUUCACAAGGAAUCAAUUGAGAGAAAAUAAAAUAGAAACAGACUGUCCCACAUUUGGGCUGAGCACCAAACACAUUUUUUUUUUUUUUUUUGAGACUGAGUCUUGCUCUGUCACUCAGGCUGGAAUGCAGUGGCGCGAUCUCGGCUCACUGCAGCCUUCACCUCCCGGGUUCAAGUGAUUCUUCUGCCUCAGCCUCCCAAGUAGCUGGGAUUACAGGUGCCCACCACCAUGCCAGGCUAAUUUUUGUAUUUUUAGUAGAGACGAGGUUUCACCAUGUUGGCCAGGCUGGUCUUGAACUCCUGACCAAGUGAUCCACCUGCUUCGGCCUCCCAAAGUGCUGGGAUUACAGGCACGAGCCACCGCACCUGGCCUCAAACAAGCUUUUUAAUUGCAUUCAGAAGUGCACCAACUAGGCACAGACCUCUGGCAUGGAGACAGAAUGGGAGGUUCUUGGUGUCUGGCCUGGUCUUGCAGAAAUCAGGGAGUUGUGGGGACCAGGCAGCCACUGUGCAUCAGAUAGGAGUUUCAGCAGCAGGCAACAGAAAGCCUGCCAAUGUAGCUGAAAUAAGAAGGGCUUAUUUUUAUCCCUGAACAGAAGCUUCCAGCACUGGUUCAUCAGAUCAGGGCACUGAGCUGGCAUCCCCAUUUAUACAGUUUUCCUUUCCUUCACCUUUGUAAGAUGCCUGGCACAGCUCUGAGCAUCAAAUAUCUGUGCCAUGUGGGAGCACACGAGGGGACAAGUGGGGAAUAGGGUCUCCUCUGUCCUCUGUCCCCAGGCUGGCUUCUCUCGUGGUAGAAGGACCCCCACAGCACCAGGCCUCAUAACUACCCUGCUGGUAAACUGCAGGUGCUGUCACGGCUUCCUGCCUUCGUAUAUGAAAUGUUCCUUGGCAGCUGGACUGCUGUUUGUUUACCGCACGCACAGCUCUGCUGCCUCUUGGUUACACCAGUGAGCUAUUGCUCCAUGACAAGCCACACCGAAAUGUAGCAAGCACUUAUUGUUGCCCACAUGUGUCAAGUCAGUUGAGUGUUUCUGCCAACCGGGGCCUGGCUUGGCCCACCUUGGCUGAGCUUGCUCUGGUGCUAGGGUCAGCUAGACAGGUCGGCAGGAGACCAGCUGCUCUAGAAGAGCCUGGACAGGAUGAAUUGGUUCUCCUUCCACGUGCAUCUUGCAUCCCUCCAGCCAAGGAUUUGAACCCAGGUCUCGUCUGACUCCAAAUGCACCAAGAGGAUGGAGCCCAGAGUGACACAGAGGAAGAGGCCCCUGGAUGGAUGCAUGGGGAAGGUUAGAAGCAAGGCACAAGUCAUACCUACAUUCAAGGAGAGGGGACCAUGCAAAGGAUAAACUGCAGAGAGACAACAGAUUUACAUCCCAGACACAUUCACACUGGGCCAAGAGCAGCUGCCAUUGCAGAUUCGAGUCACGUCCUUUUUUCCUUCCUUCUCCUUCUUGGAGUUACAACAGAAGCUGGGGAGGUGAGAGUGCAGAAAGGACGUGGAUGAAGCAGAGAGGCACGUGCCUGUCUCAUUCGCCUCUGGAUCUGCUGCAUCCAGGACUGUGCCAGCACAAAGUGGGAGCCCGAUAAAUAUUUAUUGAAGAAAUGAAAGGUGACAAAAGGCAGAAGGAGGGAGACCCCAAAAAGAGAGACAAAGUUUAAUCAUGUGGGCCAGGCUGGUUUUGAACUCCUGACCUCAAGUGAUCUGCCCACCUUGGCCUCCCAAAGUGCUGGGAUUACAGUAUGAACCCAGCAUCACAGUGCACUUGUGGCAGAUGGCAGUGCAUACCCGGGAGCUACUCUCCUCCGGCCAGAUGCCCUUCUCCCAGCUGCCCGCCGUGUGGCAGCUCUACCCCGGGAGGAAGUACCGAGCAGCGGAUUCCAGUUUCUGGGAAAUAGCAGACCAUGGCCAGAUUGACUCUAUGGAGCAGCUGGUCCUAACAUAUCAGCCGGAGAGGAAAGACUGACACUGGGAGUGGCUGGCCCUGCUGGCCCUGCCUCUUCUGGCCUGGUGUCUCCUCAUGCCCCCUCAGUGAGGAUCUUCAUGUACCUGCUCUUCUGUUUGCACACCCAGCAUAGCCUCCUUGCAGGCAGAAGGCAGUAGGGCCCCUGCACACUCAGUUUCUCUCGUUUUCCUUAGUUAUCAGUCCUGUCCUGUCCCACUCAGGUCUGUACUUAGGGCAGCUGGCCUGGAUGGGCUUCACUGGGGCCCUGUCUGUGUGCUGAGCCAGUUUCCCCUGCUGGCUGCAAGCUGUGGGUUCUUUCUCCUCUGUGCCCCUCAUGCUGAUCUUCUAGAUGCCACUCCCAAAUCCCCUUCAUACCCACCAGGAUGUGUGCCCAGCCAGGCCUCCAGCACCCCCAGUGCAGCUCGUGAUUGGAAACUCACCAUCGGCAGGCAGUGGUUCGGUUUAAGAGAUGGCAUUAGAGGGAGCCCAGUCUGGAUGUGGACUUGGAUGCCCUGUGGGUAUCAGUUCUGCUGACACUUUGGCCCGAAAUAGAUCCAGUGCUGAGCAAGCAAUGUACACCAGAGCCUCAGUGAGCCCAUCUGCACAGUGGGGAGCAUGGAGGGAUGGGUUUGGCCUGUGCUUCUGCUUAUUCAGUCCUUCAGCUCACGGAAGGGAUGCUAGUCCGUGAAGGUGACCUCACAGUACUGGUUAAUUAAACUUUAUUGCUCACUGUCCA